rnacentral:rRNA from 1 species
AUUGAACGCUGGCGGCGUGCCUAACACAUGCAAGUCGAGCGGCAGCGCGGGGAGCAAUCCUGGCGGCGAGCGGCGGACGGGUGAGUAACGCUUGGGAAUCUGCCUGUUAGUGGGGGACAACCCGGGGAAACUCGGGCUAAUACCGCAUACGCACUACGGUGGAAAGCCGGGGACCGCAAGGCCUGGCGCUAACAGAUGAGCCCAAGUCGGAUUAGCUAGUUGGUAGGGUAACGGCCUACCAAGGCGACGAUCCGUAACUGGUCUGAGAGGACGACCAGUCACACCGGAACUGAGACACGGUCCGGACUCCUACGGGAGGCAGCAGUGGGGAAUAUUGGACAAUGGGGGAAACCCUGAUCCAGCGACGCCGCGUGGGUGAAGAAGGCCUGCGGGUUGUAAAGCCCUCUCAGUGGGGGAAGAAAAGCCUCGACCUAACACGUCGGGGUCUUGACGUAACCCCAUGGAAGAAGCACCGGCUAACUCUGUGCCAGCAGCCGCGGUAAG